rnacentral:rRNA from 1 species
UUUUUGAUAAUAAUUUAAAGUCUAAUCUGCCCACUGAUUUAUUAAAGGGCUGCAGUAUAUUAACUGUACAAAGGUAGCAUAAUCAUUAGUUUUUUAAUUGAAAACUUGUAUGAAAGAUUUGAUGAAAUAUUAACUGUCUCUUAAUUAUUAAUAAAACUUUAUUUUUUAGUUAAAAAGCUAAAAUAAAUUUAAAAGACGAGAAGACCCUAUAGAGUUUUAUAUUUGAGUUUUAUUUUAAAUAUAUAUAUAAAUUAAUAUUAAUAAAAUUAAAUAUUAUAUUGGGGUGAUAGAAAAAUUUAAUUAACUUUUUUUAAAUAAUAAACAUAAAUAAGUGAAUAAAUGAUCCAUUUAUAAUGAUUACAAGAAAAAAUUACCUUAGGGAUAACAGCGUAAUAUUUUUUUUUAGUACAUAUAAAAAAAAAAGAUUGCGACCUCGAUGUUGGAUUAAGAUAAAAUUUAAAUGCAAAAGUUUAAAAUUUUGAUCUGUUCGAUCAUUAAAAUCUUACAUGAUCUGAGCU